CCUACGGGAGGCAGCAGUGAGGAAUAUUGGUCAAUGGGCGCGAGCCUGAACCAGCCAAGUCGCGUGAGGGAAGACGGCCCUACGGGUUGUAAACCUCUUUUGCCGGGGAGCAACGGGCGCCACGUGUGGCUCCACUGAGAGUCCCCGGAGAAAAAGCAUCGGCUAACUCCGUGCCAGCAGCCGCGGUAAUACGGAGGAUGCGAGCGUUAUCCGGAUUUAUUGGGUUUAAAGGGUGCGUAGAUGGGUUGUUAAGUCAGUUGUGAAAGUUUGCGGCGCAACCGUAAAAUUGCAGUUGAAACUGGCAGUCUUGAGUGCAGUAGAGGUGGGCGGAAUUCGUGGUGUAGCGGUGAAAUGCUUAGAUAUCACGAAGAACUCCGAUUGCGAAGGCAGUUCACUGGACUGCAACUGACACUGAGGCUCGAAAGUGUGGGUAUCAAACAGGAUUAGAUACCCGAGUAGUC
rnacentral:rRNA from 1 species